rnacentral:tRNA from 1 species
GCUGGGAUAGCUCACUUGGUAGAGCAUGAGACUCUUAAUCUCAAGGUUGUGGGUUCAAGCCCCACACUGGGCA